CGGUGUAAUAGGCUGCGUUAUCGAUUGAAAUCUACCUGCAGUAUACACACUGCGGGGAAUCACGUGUUUUUUUUUAAUAUGAAACACGGAUAAUGGCGGCGUCAUUGUCUCGAAAAUGACACGAAAAAAACCCGGCUUACCUUACAGAGGCCAAAGAACGCCUACAAAAAGAAGAUCGUUGUGACCAAGCAUAAAACAAUAAACACCCAGCUGCUAACAAGAUCAAAUGUUGAAAACAGGAUAACUUGCGGAAAACGAAGUUUAACCAAAACUCCAAUUAAAUCACCACCAAUCCGCACAGACUAAUCAGGGACGACAAUUUCCGCUUUUAUGACAUUUUCGUUUAAAUAAAGUGUCUUCUUAGCAAAAAUCCAGUUCAUGCGGAAAGUGUCUCCCUGAUGCGGACUGCACCGGCUAAUCUGGGAGUAAACUUUACGCACAUGCAUUAAGCCAAGUUGUCUCAGAACACGACUCAAAUGUGGUACCAUAUAAGAAGGAAACCACGUGUGUGACUGUGAACGAAAAACAUAUCAAAAAGGAAGAAAGAAGAUGGGCACAGUGUCUUCCUCACGGACAUCUUUACAGUUCGGGUCUCUCGGUGUACGUUGGGAAAAAGCGCGAAGAAAUGAGUAAAAAAUUCUGCCAUCUGAUAAGAUGGGCAUACAAUUACGUAAAUAAUUGACAGUAUGGACGAAGAAAUAAUUUCGAUGUGACAAUUUUCAUAAACGGCAGUUUGCUUUGUAAAUUAAAACUAUUCAAAAUAAGGGUACAAUUGUAUUCACACUUCCUUCCUUCGUCUUUUAUAAGCGUUGUUUAAGUUAAUUAAGUUAAUAUCACAUACCAUAGAGUUUGAGACAUAGCUACGGUGGCAUAAAGGGGAUAUAGGAAAUGUUUUAAUUAACGGUCUCUAUCACGUGCACACGUGAUAGCUGUGACGUGCGCAAGCGAUAGCUAUGACGUUCACACGCGAUAACUAUGACGUGCGAACGCGAUAGCUAUGACGUGCACAAGCGAUAACUAUGACGUGCGCACGCGAUAGCUAUAACGUGCGCACGCGAUAGUUAUGACGUGCGCACGCGAUAGAUUUGACGUGCGCAUGCGAUAGUUAUAACGUGCGAACGUACGUCAUAGCUGACCAAUCAGAAAAGGUAUCAGAUAAGUGAUUAUUCAGAUAUAAUUCGCUGUAAAAACACACCAUGUGCUCAGUGCGCUAGUUACAAAAUGGCUGACAUUUCGAAAAGUUUCAUUAGUCAACAAUUGCUUUCGCACGCGCAACCUAUUCUGAUCUGAUACCUUUUCUGAUUGGUCAGCUAUGGCGUGCGCACGUAAUUGCUAUCGCGAGCGCACGUCAUAGUUUUCGCGUGCGCACGCGAUGGACACAGUGAAAUAAAACAUUUCCUUUGUCCCCUUUUGCCACCGUACCUUACCGCCGAUGCAGCAUAUUGUUUAAUGUGUGCAUUGUUCUGAACAAAAAAAUUACCUGCGAUAUUUUAUAUCAAAGACAAUUGGUUAUGAAUAUUCAUCCAAAUUUUGAACAGAUGUUAAAUUUAAUGCUUGUAUGUUAUUAUAUAUUUUGUUGCAUACAAACGGAUUUUGUAACAUUGUCCUGUACUCAGUAUGCAAGAUUAAAUACUAUACGAUCAAAAGUG